GGCCACAUCACGUUGAAACACUAGCUUCCAUAUGAUCCCCAAAGUUAAGCAAUGUUGAGUCUAGCCAGUACCUAGAUGAGUAAUUGCUUGGGAAUACCAGGUGUUA